CCUACGGGAGGCAGCAGUCGAGAAUCAUUCACAAUGGGGGAAACCCUGAUGGUGCGACGCCGCGUGGGGGAAUGAAGGUCUUCGGAUUGUAAACCCCUGUCAUGUGGGAGCAAAUUAAAAAGAUAGUACCACAAGAGGAAGAGACGGCUAACUCUGUGCCAGCAGCCGCGGUAAUACAGAGGUCUCAAGCGUUGUUCGGAAGCACUGGGCGUAAAGCGUGCGUAGGCGGUUUGGUAAGUCGUGUGGGAAAGGGGCGGGCUCAACCCGCGGACGGCACAUGAGACUGCGAGACUAGAGAUAUGGAGGGGGAAGCGGAAUUCACGGUGUAGCAGUGAAAUGCGUAGAGAUCGAGAGGAACACUCGGGGCGAAGGCGGGUUCCUGGACAUUAACUGACGCUGAGGCACGAAGGCCAGGGGAGCGAAAGGGAUUAGAUACCCCUGUAGUC
rnacentral:rRNA from 1 species